UACGAAGGGUGCGAGCGUUAUUCGGAAUGAUUGGGCGUAAAGGGUGUGUAGGUGGCGCCGUAAGUCGGGUGUGAAAUUUCGGAGCUUAACUCCGAAACUGCAUUCGAUACUGCGGUGCUUGAGGACUGGAGAGGAGACUGGAAUUCAUGGUGUAGCAGUGAAAUGCGUAGAGAUCAUGAGGAAGACCAGUGGCGAAGGCGGGUCUCUGGACAGUUCCUGACACUGAGACACGAAGGCCAGGGGAGCAAACGGG
rnacentral:rRNA from 1 species